CUCUGUUUUGCUACACAUGGAUUUCUUCACAUGACAGCUCAGCUCCUCUGAUGGGAGGAGUAUACCGGGUGGAGAGAAGAAACUUGGAGCAGAGAAAAGUCAUGUUUUUAGAGACAGUGAAGGUUUACAUGGGUGCAAACGACCUCCAGCAUUCCAGACCCACUGAUGGUUCUACAAAGAGACCAGAGUCAUUCUUGAAGCCCAGGCCACCUUGGCAGGACAGCCACAUUUGCAAUGAAGUGCUUGAAUGAGAUAUUUGCCGCUGUUUGUGUCUGUGGAUGUGUUUAGUUCAUGGGUUCUUUCUGAUGAGUAUGUACCUGACCAUAGCACUGAAACUUAAAUGAGGUAGGAUUCAACAUGAAAAUAUUUUCUUUGAUUAUUUGACUAACACUUAUUUAAGUU
rnacentral:lncRNA from 1 species